rnacentral:tRNA from 1 species
GGGGCUUUAGCUUAAUUAAAGUGUCUGUUUUGCAUGCAGGAGAUAUAGAUUAAUAUUCUGUAAGUCCUA